rnacentral:rRNA from 1 species
AACGAACGCUGGCGGCAUGCCUAACACAUGCAAGUCGAACGAGACCUUCGGGUCUUGUGGCGCACGGGUGCGUAACGCGUGGGAAUCUGCCCUUGGGUUCGGAAUAACAGUGAGAAAUUACUGCUAAUACCGGAUGAUGUCUUCGGACCAAAGAUUUAUCGCCCAGGGAUGAGCCCGCGUAGGAUUAGCUAGUUGGUGGGGUAAUGGCCUACCAAGGCGACGAUCCUUAGCUGGUCUGAGAGGAUGAUCAGCCACACUGGGACUGAGACACGGCCCAGACUCCUACGGGAGGCAGCAGUGGGGAAUAUUGGACAAUGGGCGCAAGCCUGAUCCAGCAAUGCCGCGUGAGUGAUGAAGGCCUUAGGGUUGUAAAGCUCUUUUACCCGGGAUGAUAAUGACAGUACCGGGAGAAUAAGCUCCGGCUAACUCCGUG